rnacentral:snRNA from 1 species
UUCUUCUUCUUCUUCUUGAC